UCCUUGUGUUUGGUGUGUGUGUGCAUGUGCGUACACACACACACACACACACACACACACAGGGA